UGCGUAGGCGGCCUUCUAAGUCGAACGUGAAAUCCCCGGGCUCAACCCGGGAACUGCGUCCGAGACUGGAAGGCUUGAAUCCGGGAGAGGGAUGUGGAAUUCCAGGUGUAGCGGUGAAAUGCGUAGAUAUCUGGAGGAACAUCGGUGGCGAAGGCGGCAUCCUGGACCGGUAUUGACGCUGAGGCGCGAAAGCCAGGGGAGCAAAACGG
rnacentral:rRNA from 1 species